rnacentral:rRNA from 1 species
AGAGUUUGAUCCUGGCUCAGGAUGAACGCUAGCUACAGGCUUAACACAUGCAAGUCGAGGGGCAGCAUGGAAGAAGCUUGCUUCUUCUGAUGGCGACCGGCGCACGGGUGCGUAACGCGUAUCAAACCUGCCUCAUACUCGGGGAUAGCCUUGCGAAAGUAAGAUUAAUACCCGAUGUUGUUAUGUUGCCGCAUGGUGAUAUAACCAAAGAUUUAUCGGUAUGAGAUGGUGAUGCGUCCGAUUAGGUAGUAGGCGGGGUAACGGCCCACCUAGCCUUCGAUCGGUAGGGGUUCUGAGAGGAAGGUCCCCCACACUGGAACUGAGACACGGUCCAGACUCCUACGGGAGGCAGCAGUGAGGAAUAUUGGUCAAUGGACGGAAGUCUGAACCAGCCAAGUAGCGUGCAGGAUGACGGCCCUAUGGGUUGUAAACUGCUUUUGUAUGGGGAUAAAGUUAGGGACGUGUCCCUAUUUGCAGGUACCAUACGAAUAAGGACCGGCUAAUUCCGUGCCAGCAGCCGCGGUAAUACGGAAGGUCCAGGCGUUAUCCGGAUUUAUUGGGUUUAAAGGGAGCGUAGGCGGAUUAUUAAGUCAGUGGUGAAAGACGGUGGCUCAACCAUCGUUAGCCAUUGAAACUGGUAGUCUUGAGUGCAGACAGGGAUGCUGGAACUCGUGGUGUAGCGGUGAAAUGCUUAGAUAUCACGAUGAACUCCGAUCGCGAAGGCAGGUGUCCGGGCUGCAACUGACGCUGAGGCUCGAAAGUGUGGGUAUCAAACAGGAUUAGAUACCCUGGUAGUCCACACAGUAAACGAUGUAUACUCGCGGUUUGCGAUAGACAGUAAGCCGCCAAGCGAAAGCAUUAAGUAUACCACCUGGGGAGUACGCCGGCAACGGUGAAACUCAAAGGAAUUGACGGGGGCCCG